rnacentral:rRNA from 1 species
AGCGAACGUUAGCGGCGGGCCUAACACAUGCAAGUCGCACGAGAAUGAGGGGGCAACUCCUCUAGUAAAGUGGCGGACGGGUGCGUAACACGUGGGUAAUCUACCUUCCAGCGGGGGACAACCGUCCGAAAGGAUGGCUAAUACCGCGUACGUCGGCGAGGACUCCGGUUCUUGUCGGGAAAGACGGCCUCUCCUUGGAAGCUGUCACUGGAAGAUGAGCUCGCGGCCCAUCAGCUAGUUGGUGAGGUAACGGCUCACCAAGGCUAAGACGGGUAGCUGGUCUGAGAGGAUGAUCAGCCACACUGGAACUGCGACACGGUCCAGACUCCUACGGGAGGCAGCAGUGGGGAAUAUUGGGCAAUGGGCGAAAGCCUGACCCAGCCACGCCGCGUGAGUGAUGAAGGCCUUCGGGUCGUAAAGCUCUGUGGGGAGGGACGAACAAGGUGCGUGCCAAUACCACGUGCCCCUGACGGUACCUCCUUAGCAAGCACCGGCUAACCCUGUGCCAGCAGCCGCGGUAAUAC